GAGUUUGAUCAUGGCUCAGAUUGAACGCUGGCGGCAGGCUUAACACAUGCAAGUCGAACGGUAGCAGGAGAAAGCUUGCUUUCUUGCUGACGAGUGGCGGACGGGUGAGUAAUGCUUGGGAAUCUGGCUUAUGGAGGGGGAUAACUACUGGAAACGGUAGCUAAUACCGCGUAAUAUCGAGAGAUUAAAGACUGGGACCUACGGGCCAGUUGCCAUAAGAUGAGCCCAAGUGGGAUUAGGUAGUUGGUGGGGUAAAGGCCUACCAAGCCCGCGAUCUCUAGCUGGUCUGAGAGGAUGACCAGCCACACUGGAACUGAGACACGGUCCAGACUCCUACGGGAGGCAGCAGUGGGGAAUAUUGCACAAUGGGGGGAACCCUGAUGCAGCCAUGCCGCGUGAAUGAAGAAGGCCUUCGGGUUGUAAAGUUCUUUCGGUGGUGAGGAAGGUAUCAACUUUAAUAGAGUUGGUAAUGACGUUCCCCGAGAGC
rnacentral:rRNA from 1 species